rnacentral:rRNA from 1 species
GAUGAACGCUGGCGGCGUGCCUAAUACAUGCAAGUCGAGCGAACAGACGAGGAGCUUGCUCCUCUGACGUUAGCGGCGGAGGGGAGAAUAACACGUGUAUAACCUACCUAUAAGACUGGUAUAACUUCGGGAAACCGGAGCUAAUACCGGAUAAUAUAUUGAACCGCAUGGGUCAAUAGUGAGAGUCGGUGUUUCUGUCACUUAUAGCUGGAUCCGGGCCGCAUUAGCUAGUUGGUAAGGUAAUGGCGUAUCAAGGCAACGAUGCGUAGACGACCGGACAGGGGGGUCGGCCACCUGGGAAGGGAGACAGGGACAAUACGCCUGCGGGAGGCAGCAGUAGGGAAUCGUACGCAACGGGGGAAAGCCUGACGGAGCAACGCCGCGUGAGUGCUGAAGGUGCUGUGAUCGUAAAACUGUGUUAUUAGUGGAGAACAAAUGUGUAAGUAACUAUGCAGGUAUUGACGGUACCUGGUAAGAAAGCCACGGCUAACUACGUG